UUUUCCAUCAAUCCUUCAAUUCUCCAUACAAAAUCUACGGUUCAAUACAACUGAAACUCCUAAACCUCUUGUGAUUGUCACCCCAGUGAGUGAAUCCGAGGUCCAACGAGUCAUUCUUUGUUCUAAGAAAACUGGGAUGCACGUUAGGGUUCGUGGUGCAGGACAUGAUUAUGAAGGUCUUUCUUAUGUCUCCGAGGUUCCAUUCGUUAUAGUUGACCUUAUUAACCUUAGAACAAUCAAUGUUGAUGUCAAUGAUAAGAGUGCAUGGGUUGAAGCUGGAUCAACUAUUGGUGAACUCUAUUAUAGAAUCGCGGAGAAAAGCAAAACCCUAGGGUUUCCGGCUGGUGUUUGUCCAACAGUUGGUGUUGGUGGACAUUUUAGUGGAGGUGGUUAUGGUGUUAUGCUGAGAAAAUAUGGCCUAGCAGCUGAUAACAUUGUAGAUGCACGAUUGAUCGAUGCCAAUGGGAGGAUUCUUGAUAGGGUUUCCAUGGGGGAAGAUCUAUUUUGGGCAAUUAGAGGAGGUGGUGGUAAUACUUUUGGACUUGUCCUUGCAUGGAAGAUCAAAUUAGUAGAUGUUCCUGAGAUAGUAACUGUUUUCACACUUGACAAGACAUUGGAACAAAAUGCCACUAAGCUUGUUCAUAGGUGGCAAUAUGUUGCUCCAAGAUUCCAUGAAGAUUUGUUCAUUAGGAUCUUGGUUAGUAAAUUGAACUCAAGUAAUCAAGGAGAUGGUAACAACCAACAAACAAUUGUAGCUUCAUUCAACUCCAUAUUCCUUGGUGGUAUCGAUCGAUUACUUCCCAUCAUGAAAGAAAAUUUCCCUGAAUUAGGGUUGAGAAGAGAAGAUUGCAUUGAGAUGAGUUGGAUAGAGUCUAUAAUGUACUUUGCAGGGUUCCCAACAGAUGGACCUCUUGAUGUCUUGCUAAGUAGGGUUCAACUCUCAACGCGUUACUUCAAGGCAAAAUCAGACUACGUGUAUCAGCCAAUUCCAGAGGGAGGUCUUGAAGGAAUAUGGAGAUUCUUCUUUGAAGAUGAAGCUCAAUCAUCUCAAGUAAUCUUAAGUCCCUAUGGUGGGAGGAUGGAUGAGAUUUCACCAUCCGCUAUCCCGUUCCCCCAUAGAGCUGGGAAUUUAUACAAAAUUCAACAUUUGGUGUAUUGGGAUGAAGAAGGAGAAGAAGUAGCUGAGAGGCAUAUAAGUUGGAUAAGAAGGCUUUACUCUUACAUGGCACCUUUUGUUUCUAAGUUACCAAGAGCUGCUUAUAUCAACUAUAGGGAUCUUGAUAUUGGAGUGAAUAACAUCAAGGGAUAUACAAGCUAUGUGCAAGCUAAGGUUUGGGGGAUUAAGUAUUUCAAGAAUAAUUUUGAUAGAUUGGUUCAUGUGAAGACUAAGGUGGAUCCUUCAAAUUUCUUUAGGAAUGAACAAAGUAUUCCUUCACUUACUCAGUGGAAGAACAAAGGUGAAUGAAGUUCAUCACUCUACAAAAAAUAAUAUGAUGCAUGUUAUUAUUUAAUUAAUUAAGUACAUAGUUUCUCUUCAUUGUUUGUAUUAUAAAGGGUCAUGCAUGUGAGAACAUGGCACUUGAUAAGACUUGUGUAGUAAUUUUUUUUUUAUGUAAUUUGCCUGUUCUAUGAAAUUAUUGUAUAAUAUUGAUUGAUAAUAAAGGUUGUUUAAUUUAAUUUAUUUUUAUGGUUUUCUUCCUUACAUAUUGAUUUUUUUUUCUCAAUUAUUACUAGCAAAUAAACUCGACUCAAACAUUUCAUUCAAUUUUUCUUCCGAAUUGUCCUAGACCUCAUCUUGCUCAGAUUUAUAUGAAUUUAGCUUGAAAUUUUCAACUCUUCGAACCAAGAGCUCCAUCACUCAUUUUCUUUUACGAAUAGCUCAUCCAUAACAAUAGGAAGGGUCAUUACAUUUAUAAAUUAAUUCAGGAACAACUUCACUAUCUCUAUGAAGUAAUGAUAAAAUUUGCAUAUAUUUUAUCCUCCUCAAACUACACUUGAUGAAAUUUCACUAAAUAUACUAUUAUUAUUAUUAUAAUAUUAAUUAUUAUAAUUUAUAAUAAUUUUGUAGAAUAAGUUUCAAAUAUACAAAUUAUUUUUUAACAAUCUUAAAAUACUAAUCUACCCUUCAAAAAAUUUGGAUUAGACUUUCCUUAAUUGCACAAUCCAACUUCCAAAGGCAUAACUCAUUCAUACAAACUCGGAAUCGCGCAAACUCGGCGGCGUUGGAAAGAUCAUUCCAAGAGCUUUCCAACCAUAUCUGGAAGUACACCUAAUUCACCUUGAUCUAGGAGUUAUGACCGUUUGAAGUUGACCAAAACUCAACUUUUUCCUAACUUGAACAAUUUUUUAGAUUUUUCAUUAUUUCCAAAAAAGGACUAUUUCCAUUUCUAAGCUUCUUCCUAGCUAUUUAAAAUUGUGAUAUGUUACAUAAAACGAAAUAUUUAACCACUAAAAUGGUGUAAAAUUUUAAAUUCGGUCAAAAAUUACGUGUCUACAGUUGCGACUUCAAUAAGGCUCCAUUUCUCUAGAUGUUGCUUUAUUACUUUCUCCUCUUCAAAUAAGGUUGUCUGAUGAUUCACGUUUCUCAUUUGUGCUUGUAUAUUUUUCUAGUACACAAAUACAGUUUUUUCUUAUACAUAAAUAUAAUUGGUUGUAUCAAUAUGUAUCAAUCAAACAAAAAAGAUAUGGUUUGAUAAUAAAUGUACUAUGAUACACAUAUACAAUUUUUCAUGAUACGUAAAUUAUAUAUACAAUUGAUUGCAUCAAUUUAAAAAGAAGAGAAGAUUCAAAAGUGAACUGAUACAUGUUUUUAGUCUAAUGAUGCAAACAUUGAACAAUAAUCAAGACAAAUUUGAGUUUACUUUGUCACCUUUAGUUUCUUAUUUUCUUCAUCUCUCUUCUGCGAGUAUCUUUUUUAGAUUAAGAAUUUUAAAACUGAUGAAUGCAUCGCCAUUAUCGUCAGCACCAAAAAUUCUGUAGGUAGUAUAAAACAACUAACAAAGAUAUCUACAAUUUUAAUGGUUCUAAACUUCUAAUGAUUUACAGAAAUAAAAUCAGCUUUAUUAUUUCCGUAUUAAUUUAUUUGUUUUUUUUUAUUUGUUAAAAUUUAAUAUAUUUAUUUUUGUUGAGUCCUGGACAAUUUGUAUAUUUUCUUUAGUCAUUAAUUUGAACAUUUCAAAAAAACAAGGUACACAAUAUUCAGAAAAUACAUAAAAAUUGAAUACUAUACUAUAAACAAAUAAUAUUAAGUUUCUUGAUAUUAGCAUUGACCACGUCAUGUUAAAGAUGUGUGUCUGAUGCGGAACUAUUUUGAUAAACAUAAUGAGAUAGAUAAUGCAUUUAAAUUAUUUAUGAAUUGCUUGAAUUGACUAUAUCCCAUUCUUUUCCAAUUAAUGUAUAUUGUGAUAGUCAAGUUGCUAUACAUAUAGCACACAAUCCUGUAUUCUAUGAAAGAACUAAAUAUAUUGAAGUUGAUUGUUAUUUUGUAUGUAAUAAGUUGCAAGAAGGACUCAUCUCUCUCCACCAUGUAGCCACUACUGAACAACUAGCAGACAUCCUCACUAAGGCACUCACUGGUAUCAAACAUGUUGCAGUUCUGAGCAAGUUGGCUGUGAGAUCAUCACCGUCAACUUGAGGAGGGGUAUUGACAAUUACCACUGCACAACCAAUUAAUUAUUUAGCUAAGCCGUAGUUAGUUAGUUUGUUACUACCCAUCAGCUACUUAGUCAUAGUGUAAUUUGUUAUAUGGCAGUUAGUUAGUUAGGAUAUUUUCACAUCUUUUGAUUCUUCUAGAAUAGUCCAAUUCACGUGUAUAUAAUGCUACAUUGAUCAAUGAAACAGUGCUGGUUUUCAUUCUCUUCAAACACAGAGUCCUUAGCUUUCUUCUCAUGCUAUUCAUGGCUUCCCUGUUUUGACUCGAUUGAGUAUACUCCAUUAUUGUAUGUUUUGAUAUGUAUAUAUAUAAUAGAAAAAUAAAAAAAGAAUAUGUAUAUAUUAUUAAAAAUCCCUACAUUAUGUGCAACACUUCAAACAAAGAGCAGCCCAUGAGGUGAUUAAUUUUUUUUUUAUAACUAAUUUUAUCGAUGUUAGUAUUUAUUUUUUUUCAGUUGAUAUAAAAGAGCAGCCCAUGAGGCGUCUGAUUGAGUUUGUGCGUAAAAUUUGCAUUAUCCCUAUAAUUAAAUAUAUUUUAGUAUGAUAGUUACUAAUUUACGAUGAUGUUAUUAGUGAAUAAGAUUUAAACUCUAUUAAUUAAAGAGGCACAGAUGAUGAGACCUAUCAAUUUAUGAUUAUAGAUAUAUUAUAGUGCAUGUAAUUUGAAUACAAUUAUAUUAUUUUUAUUUAGUUUGGAUCUGUCAUCGAAGUUCUUUUGAAAACAUUUUUUUUACAUCCACAAGAUAAAAGUAACAUAUGUAUACAAUAUACAAUAUACUCUUUCUUUAGAUUCUACAUAUAAAAUUAUAUUGGAUAUAUUGUUAUUGUUGACUCUAAUGCCCCAAAUCACUAACAUGUCUAAAAAAGUUUUUUGGACAACAUAAAAGGAACAUACCGUAUUAUGAAUUGUAAGUUUAGUCCUAGAUACAAAAAUACAAAAUUAUGAAUUAGCUAUUUCGUUGAAGAAUUAUUUAUUUAUGAAAGUGAGUUCGGGAAAAAACUUCGUUUUCGAUAUUGACCUGUCAUAUAAAAGCAAAACUUACAAAUGUCCCCAAAAAGAGAAAAAUAAAAUAAAAUUGAAACCAUAAACCUUUUAAAGUCAAAAUAUUGAAAUUUGCAAAUAGCUUGGGGUAGAAUAAAAUAUUAUAUUAUCAGAGAAAUUGUCCAAUGAAAGAACCAACAAAUUAUACACGAAGUUUCAUAAAUUCAAAGUGAGAAUUUUCAAAUUUCAAUUUUGUUUAAAUUUCAAUAGUCAAUAUAAGCCAAGACCAUUGACCAAUUGAUUAACCCAACUUGUCAUCUUUAUAGGGGUCCAACAAUUUUAAAUAUCCUCUUUUUACAACAAUUUUGUGUUUGAAUUGUUUUAGAAAAAAUAAUCAUUUGAAAGAACAAUGUGAAAAAUAGUUAAACACCUGUACAUCCUUGCUGUAAAUAAUCUUUUAUAAAAUUUAAAGGUUGAAUUCGAAAGUUUCAAAAUGUAAUAUGCUACUUGCUUUAAUAGCUAAAGAUGUUCAAAUAUUGAGAAAAUCUCAAAAAUUAUAAUUUAUUUAUAUUAAUAAUGUUUAUCACUUAAAUAUGAGGAUUUAAUUAACUAUCUUAUCCUUUCUUAAAAAUUAGAAUCAUGAAGUUAAAUCUGGUGCACAUAUGAAUAUUUUUUCAAGAUAACGUUUUCCCACUAGACCUUUUGAAAAAACAAUGUAUAAUAGUAUCGUAGACAAAUUCAUUUUUCACGAUCUAGCUAUCCGUUAUAGCCUCCAAGCAUAAAAGUCCCUUGUGAACCACUUCAAGAAUUUAUCAAUUGUAGUCAAUAUCUAAUUAUGAAGAGUAAUUCUGAUAACUUCGAGAAAAAAAAAGAUGUUUAUCUAUUUUAGAGAUGGUGUAUUUUUUAUUGUUAUUAUUUUAUAUUUAUUCAUAUCUCUCAGUCUUACGAGGAGAAAAAUACGUAUUGCAUAAAAUUUUAUGAAAAAAAAUCUAUGUUUUUUGAACGUGAAGUUUUGAAAAUAGAACAAUUUCUUUUUUUAUGUAUCCUCGAAUUAAUGCAACCUGAAAUACUAUGUUCCAAAUUUCGUAAUUAACAUAUGUGGGACUCGAGUCCCCAACCUUGCAAUAGGAUCAUAACAAAACCACCACCAUCUGCGUCUAUGGCUCUCAAUGGUUGCGAUAGAUCAUUUCUGCCCCAGGCCAACACUGCAAUUAAUAUUGACUUCAACAUCCAAGGCACGACGGGAAUAAAAUGUGGCGGAUGAUUUGAUAUUAUUAAAAUAUAAAAUUCAGAGAUAAUUACACCUCAAAAGCUAGCUAUUGAAAUGGAAGAUCCGGAGAUUAUGUACACUCUAUUAAACCAAUGUGGAAAUCAAGCCCCAAUGUCUCCUACCUUGCAAGUUGCAAUAUGAUCAUAACAUUAAGAAAUAACUCAUAUAGGGUUGAAUAUAGAUGGCUAAAAAUUGUUUUUUCGCAAGUUAUUAAUUAAGGUCAAACAAAUGUGAAAGGCUAUUGGUGGUCUUGAUCUGAUUUGACUAUUCUUCUUUUUUGGUAUUAUUUUUUAUUCAUUACAAUUUCACACGUAUGUUGAUUAUUAUAGAAAGUUCAACUAAACAAAUAGUAGCUCCUCUCUCACACAUUAUAAAUAGAAUGGGGUUUGCAACUUCAUUUCCAUAACACAAACUUAACAAAAUCUAAUCCCAAUAUGAAGAUUUCUUGGUUUUCCUUUAUUUUUGUACUUGUUGUUCUCUCAUCAGCUUCAUGGUCAGCAUUAGCUGAUAAUCAUGAAGAAUUCAUUCAAUGUCUAUCUCAUAGUAACCAAACAUCCUCCAAUAUUUACACACCAAAUAACUCUUCUUUUCCAUCAAUCCUUCAAUUCUCCAUACAAAAUCUAAGGUUCAAUACAACUGAAACUCCUAAACCUCUUGUGAUUGUCACUCCAGUGAGUGAAUCCGAGGUCCAACGAGUCAUUCUUUGUUCUAAGAAAACUGGGAUGCACGCAACGAGUCAUUCUUUGUGCUAAGAAAACUGGGAUGCACAUUAGGGUUCGUGGUGCAGGACAUGAUUAUGAAGGUCUUUCUUAUGUCUCCGAGGUUCCAUUCGUUAUAGUUGACCUUAUUAACCUUAGAACAAUCAAUGUUGAUGUCAAUGAUAAGAGUGCAUGGGUUGAAGCUGGAUCAACUAUUGGUGAACUCUAUUAUAGAAUCGCGGAGAAAAGCAAAACCCUAGGGUUUCCGGCUGGUGUUUGUCCAAC
rnacentral:lncRNA from 1 species